GUAGAGGACAUUUUGCUUUUAUCUGCCCAAAAAGGAGGUACUUGGCAUAAAUAUAUCAGCCAUGAAUAAGAUAAAGGUGGCCAUAGAAAAAUGGAACGCAACGAGACAUGCAACAAUUUCUUCUCUUCGACAUUCUGCCGAAGUACUUCAUGACUCCCAUAGAAAAAACGCAGAAGCAGAGCAUGCUAGUGCCGAGACGUCUUUGAUUGGAGUUCAGCUCUCACCAAAUACGUGUUGUAGCACUUGUUAUAUAUCAAAUGGUGGAGGAAAACCUAACGUGUUCCUCUUGUCGAUAUUUUACACAAGGACAGAUACUUGGGUGAAUUGAUCGGGUUCGGCAUUUCGCAUGCUGCCCACAUAGACAAUUAAGGAAAAAUAGAAAAUAGAAUUGAAAUAUGCUAUCAAGGUUUCAACCUGACCACAAGAUAUUCCACAUGGCGCUUAAAAGCUAACGGCCAUUCCGGGACUAUUUAUAAAAUCUGCUUUCAACUCAACCAAUAUAGCCAGGGGAAUAUUCAUUAGAUGACGCCGCAAUUGUUCCGUCUUGUGAACAGAAUGGCCGGGAAGCUGAUUUUAAUGUUAAAUGCAACAAAAUGUGUGCAAUUUAUAGUUAAAUCUUGUUUACAAAUGGAAAGGAGAUAUAAUAUAAAUAUAAGCGCGAUUCAUGG
rnacentral:lncRNA from 1 species